rnacentral:rRNA from 1 species
UACAGAGGUCUCAAGCGUUGUUCGGAUUCAUUGGGCGUAAAGGGUGCGUAGGCGGCGCGGUAAGUCGGGUGUGAAAUCUCGGGGCUUAACUCCGAAACUGCAUUCGAUACUGCCGUGCUUGAGGACUGGAGAGGAGACUGGAAUUUACGGUGUAGCGGUGAAAUGCGUAGAUAUCGUAAGGAAGACCAGUGGCGAAGGCGGGUCUCCGGACAGUUCCUGACGCUGAGGCACGAAGGCCAGGGGAGCAAACGGGGAUUAGAAAACC